rnacentral:lncRNA from 1 species
UAGUGUCUCUGACAGGGAGCUAGCCCAAGUGGUUCUUUACCCACUAAGACCAUCUCUAUCUCACCCUGCAGGUUCUGCUUCCAUGCCUUGGAGGAGCUUUUCUCCUAGAGAUUCUGCAGUAGCUUGUGACACCCUUAUUUGGAAGAAUAACUUGCCAGAGAGUGAAUCGGAUUUAUUCAUCAGUCCGUGCAGGAGGAAGUGAAGCCAUCACUGGAUACAAACGUAGGACAAGUGCAGCGUCAUGAGCGUGUAGAGGGAGGUGGAGAGCCGGGAGAGGCUUUGCUGAGGGAGUGGUAUUCAGAAGAACGAGAGUCAGGUAAGCGAGGGGGUGAAGGGCAAUGAGGGCUGUUUGUGCAAAGGCCCGGGGGUGCAAGGUUGCUGCCAAGCUGGAGGAAGGAUGCCAGAGGGCCUGAUCACAGCCUUGGGGGACGUGAUGUGAGGUCGGCGGGGGCUUAUGAAGGAGCAGGAGAAGGGGUC